GUGCCAGCCGCCGCGGUAAUACGAGGGGUGCAAGCGUUACUCGGAAUCACUGGGCGUAAAGAGAAUGUAGGCGGUUAAUUAAGUUGGAAGUGAAAUCCUAUGGCUCAACCAUAGAACUGCUUCCAAAACUGAUUAACUAGAAUAUGGGAGAGGUAGAUGGAAUUUCUGGUGUAGGGGUAAAAUCCGUAGAGAUCAGAAGGAAUACCGAUUGCGAAGGCGAUCUACUGGAACAUUAUUGACGCUCAGAUUCGAAAGCGUGGGGAGCAAACAGGAUUAGAUACCCUGGUAGUCCACGCCCUAAACGAUGCACACUAGUUGUUGCUAUACUAGAUAUAGCAGUAAUGCAGUUAACACAUUAAGUGUGCCGCCUGGGGAGUACGGUCGCAAGAUUAAAACUCAAAGGAAUAGACGGGGACCCGCACAAGCGGUGGAGCAUGUGGUUUAAUUCGACGAUACGCGAAGAACCUUACCUGGCCUUGACAUAGAUAGAAUAUAGCAGAGAUGUAAUAGUGCUGGUUUACCAGAGCUGUCAUACAGGUGCUGCACGGCUGUCGUCAGCUCGUGUCGUGAGAUGUUGGGUUAAGUCCCGCAACGAGCGCAACCCACGUGAUUAGUUGCUAACAGUUCGGCUGAGAACUCUAAUCAGACUGCCUGGGUAACCAGGAGGAAGGUGUGGACGACGUCAAGUCAUCAUGGCCCUUACGGCCAGGGCUACACACGUGCUACAAUGGGGUAUACAGAGAGCCGCAAUACCGUGAGGUGGAGCAAAUCUUCAAAAUAUCUCCCAGUUCGGAUAGCAGUCUGCAACUCGACUGCUUGAAGUUGGAAUCGCUAGUAAUCGUAGAUCAGCAAUGCUACGGUGAAUACGUUCCCGGGUCUUGUACUCACCGCCCGUCACACCAUGGGAAUUGAAUUCAUUCGAAGCGGGGAUGCUAAAAUAGCUACCUUCCACAGUGGAUUUAGUAACUGGGGUGAAGUCGUAACAAGGUAACC
rnacentral:rRNA from 1 species